rnacentral:rRNA from 1 species
UACGUAGGAUCCAAGCGUUGUCCGGAUUUACUGGGUGUAAAGCGUGCGCAGGCGGUUUUGUAAGCCAGAUGUGAAAUCCCCGGGCUUAACCUGGGAAUGGCAUUUGGGACUGCAAGGCUUGAGUGCGGCAGAGGAGACUGGAAUUCCCGGUGUAGCAGUGAAAUGCGUAGGUAUCGGGAGGAAUACCGAUGGCGAAGGCAGCCCCCUGGGCUGACACUGACGCUCAGGCACGAAAGCCAGGGGAGCAAACGGG